CGAGAAAAAAAACACUAAAUUUUGUGGGAUAUUAUUGAGUGUAAGUUUGCUUUAUAAACAUUAUGCACAAAUUAUACAAAAAAAAAAUGUGAAUCAUUAUUAAUUACAACAGAGAUUUUUUUUUUUCUUUUGGUCAAUGAAUUACAACAGAGAUUGAAGAAGAGAGUUUUCAUAGACAUGAUUUAGUAACUCACUUACCCUUCAUUGAUUUGACUAUGGGAGUUGAUGGAAUUGGAGCAACAGGGGGCUUCACUACAGGAGGAUGAGGAGGAGGUGAUUUCACUAUGGGAGGAGUUGGUGCCUUCACUGGUGGUGAUUUCACUAUGGGAGGAGAAGGUGCCUUCACUGGUGGUGGAUAGGAAGGAGGUGAUUUCACUAUGGGAGGAGUUGGUGC